GGGCACAUGGUGUAGUUGGUUAUCACGCUCGCUUAGCAAUUGCAUCUGCGAGAGGUGUUGGGUUCAAUUCCCAAUGUGUCCA
rnacentral:tRNA from 1 species